AGGAGGUAAAUUGUAAUUAACUUUUACAUAACCCGAUGAAGCUGAUGACAUGGCUUGUGAAGUAGUCCAGGUCAUCAACUGAAUUAACUAAUACCAAGGGGAAACCGUUAAAAGGAGAAAGGCAGCCCCCAACUCCCUCCCUCCCUCCCUCCCUCCCUGUCUCAAGGAUCUCCCAUCCCCCUCUCUUCUCUCUGCAACUAAUUAGGGUUUAAAGUCACUCAAAUAAUCACAAGUAUCGUGGUUUUUCUAUCAACGUCAAGUAAUUCCGAAGUUUAGCAUGGAAGGGGGGAAUGGAAACGAGGUAGAAAGAGAAGAAGAUGAUUCCGUGAGCGAUAUUCUUCAAGACCGAUUUAGACUCUCAGCCAUAUCCAUUGCCGAGAAUGAAGCUAAGAAAAAUGGCGUGGAGAUAUCUGAACCAAUAACUUCUUGCAUUGCUGAUUUGGCCCUUAAUUAUACAGAACAACUUGCGAAGGAACUUGAGGCAUUUGCACAGCAUGCCGGUCGUAAAUCUGUCAACAUGGAAGAUGUCAUACUUUCUGCUCACAGAAAUGAACAUCUUACCGCCUUAUUGAGGUCAUUUUGCAAUGAUCUGAAAGAAAAAGAGCCCCAAUCUGAGAGAAAGCGGAGGAAAACAUCAAAAAAGGAAGAUAAAGCCACUACAAGUGCUGUAAAUAUUCCUGAUAUUUAACAAUUGCACAUCUCGAUUUUUGGGAGAAUCAUGUCUAGUGCAUUGUAAUUGUGGAAAACCAAACUAAGCAAAAAGAAGUCUCCAAAAAGACCGCUGAUUCUGGUCUUUAUCUAUAGUCCGCGCGCGGCAAUCAUUAUUCUCAGUUGAUUGUAUCUGCCUGCUGCUGUGGUGUUGAGAUGUGGCCACAGCUGACCUCCAAUAUUGAAUCAAUUUCCUCCUUUUUAAUGUGAAGCUCGACCCUGUUCCAAAAUAUUACAUGGGAAAUUUUUCGAAGUUUCUGAUUUUGUUUUAUGGAGUCGGCCAAACGCUUACAAGAAUACUCAUAUAUACAUUCUCUCUCACUUUCUUUGCA